UUGAUCGUCAAUAGGUUUUACUAGAGUACUAUGAAUAAAAUUUAAAACUCAAAGGGCUUGGCGGUGCUCUAGACUUUUCAGGGGAACCUGUCUCGUAAUCGACAUUCCGCGCAUUAACCUUACCUUCUCUCAGUAUGUAUACCGUCGUCGUCAGGUAACUUUUAAAAACGAAGAAGUUAGCGAGCUUAGACGUCAGAUCAAGGUGCAGCCUAUAAGAAGGCGAGGAUGGGUUACAAUUAAAACUUAUAAUUACGGAAAUAAACUUUAGAAGGCGGACUUGAAAGUAAAAAUUAGUAUUUAGAUUUUUUGAAUUAAGCUCUGGGGCG
rnacentral:rRNA from 1 species